GUUUACCUAAUUUACAUAAGUUAUCAUUUUAGUUCUCACUCAGUGAGUGUUGUUUAUGUUGUGAACAGGAAGUGGAAAAUUGUCUGUAGAUACUGAUGAGACCGUUACCUGAAGAUUAGUGACCGGACAGUGAAACCUGUUGAUAGUGAGGGACACGAUAGCGAGGCUGAAGAAUCAUUUAAUUCUUUGAUACAAGAAGAGAGAAACGACAAGUUUACCAUUACCUGAUGGUAGCGACACAACAUUGGAACCUGAUACUGAGGGACCCGACAGCGAGGCUAAAGGAUCAUUUAAUUCUUCGAUACUAGAAGAGAGAAACGAUGAGUUUGUGUAGACUGUUGAAGAUUGUAUAUUUUAAAUGUGUUUUAAUAAAUUGUUUAAAUUGUAA